GGACGAACGCUGGCGGCGUGCCUAACACAUGCAAGUCGAACGGAGUGCAAUUGGAGAUUCGUCGAAGAGCUGCACUUAGUGGCGGACGGGUGAGUAAUGCGUGAGCAACCUGCCCUUCAGAGGGGGACAACAGUUGGAAACGACUGCUAAUACCGCAUGAUGUAUCCGGGAGGCAUCUUUUGGAUACCAAAGAUUUUAUCGCUGAGGGAUGGGCUCACGUCUGAUUAGCUGGUUGGUGGGGUAACGGCCUACCAAGGCUGCGAUCAGUAGCCGGACUGAGAGGUUGAACGGCCACAUUGGGACUGAGAUACGGCCCAGACUUUUACGGGAGGCAGCAGUGGGGAAUAUUGGGCAAUGGGCGCAAGCCCUGACCCAGCAACGCCGCGUGAAGGAAGAAGGCCUUCGGGUUGUAAUCUUCUUUUAUGAGGGACGAAGGAAGUGACGGUACCUCAUGAAUAAGCCACGGCUAACUACGUGCCAGCAGCCGC
rnacentral:rRNA from 1 species